UGCAGUAGAGCACCAUGCGCCAGGGCACGGAGCGUACUCCCUCCGUCUAGGUGUAUAAGUCAUCUUACGAAAACCAAAUAAUCCCAAAACACUUAGGCGCGGUGCAUUAAUUUCUACCUCGUUUUUUAUUUCCUGACAUAUCAACCAAUAAGAGAUGAGGGGUGUACAUACUUUUAAUGACUUGAGACAAUCAAACACGACAUGCAGUGGUUAGUUCAUUGCAUGCAAUGUUAUUAAUUAGCAAAUAAACAUUAAGAUCUCUCGUUUUUCGCUCCUCCUUGGUCAUGGUGCACAACCUAAGAUGACUUACUCACCUAGACGGAGGGAGUACUGUACAUUGUCGGGGAAGCCUGCUCUGUGUAUCGUUCGCUGCGAGCGAUACGCGCGUCUGCCACGCGUCGCGCGCUUCUCAUGCUCGGAUGGGCCUGGCCUAGCAAGAUGGCGCAUGUUUUUUUUUCGUUUUUCUCAUUUCAUUUUCUCGGUCAGAUAAUUUAUAAUUUGAAAUUUUUCAUGAACACAAAACAAAAGGUUUUAAAUUAGAAAAAAUCCCCACGCAAAUUCAAAAAAUAUUCAUGAAAUCAAACAUAUUCAUGAAAUUCAAAAAAUCCUCAUGAAUUCCAGAAACUCAUGAAAACUCAAAAUUCAUAAAAAAAUCCAAAAAAAUUAAAAAAAUGUUCAC
rnacentral:lncRNA from 1 species